UAGCAGUGAGGGAAUAUUGGUCAAUAGCCUGACAGGCUGAACCAGCAACUUGGAGGAAUGUAUAGGGAAAGCGGGUAAAAAGUGAUGUACCUAGUAGUAUUAGAAUAAGGCUACUAUAACUAACUAAUAUGAGAUUAACUAAGUUAAUUAAAAUUCAAAGUAUAUAAUGAUUAUGACAAUAUAUGCUAAUGUCUUGACCAAGUCACGUGCCAGCAGUCGCGGUAAUACGUGGAAGAUCAGUGUUAUUCAUCUUUAUAAGGUAUAAAGGGUACCUAGACGGUUAAAUAAGCUUAAAAAAGUACUAAUUAACUAGAGUUUAAUGUGAGAAGGAUGGAGUACGGUGAGUGGAGAGAUAGAAUUCUGUGAUACCAUUUAGGACUGGUAAAGGCGAAGGCAACCUUCUAUGUAAAAACUGACGUUGAGGGACGAAGGCUCGUUAAAAAAAAUAGGAUUAGAUACCCUAGUAUUUUGGGCAGAAAAUGAUGAGUGUCAUAUGCAAGAAGUAUUUUUUGUGUAUAAAUGAAAGUGUAAGCACUCCACCUCAAGAGUAACAUGGCAACAUGGGAACUGAAAUCAUUAGACCGUUUCUGAAACUCGUAGUGAAGUAUGUUGUUUAAUUUGAUGACCCUCAAACAAUCUUACCACAAUUUGAAUAACUUAAUAUAUUAUGUUGUAGUUACAAGCGUUGCACGGCUGUCUUCAGUUAAUGUUGUGAAACUUUGGUUAGAUCCAUUAAAUUAACGUAAACCCUUACUUUAUUUAUUAUAGAGUAGUUCGCCGCUAUAUUGGUAGUGAUAUAUGGGACUAGGACAAGUCAUCAUGGCCUGAACAUUGUGGGCUAUAGACGUGCCACAUUA
rnacentral:rRNA from 1 species